AGCAAAUGUCUCUUUGAUAAAGCUGUCUUCACCAAGUUGGAUUUUCUUGCCACAGUGUCAGGAACAGUUGACGAGACAGACGUGUUAUUAAGUGGUAGAAAUAAACAGAUGGAAGAAGCAAGUGAGAGAUUUCAGCAAUGACUUUCCAGAAUGUUUCAGCAAAGAAUGACCUAAUUUCCAUUCUUUAAUGGAGAUAAAAAACAUGAGGUACUUACACAAGUAGUUGUAGAUCUCAUACAUGAGUAUACCUGGCACCCACUGCAGUGCCUUUGCUGGAAGGCCAGUGCUCAGCUGAGGAGCAAAGGGGGUCCUGCCAGGUACAGCUACAAGUCCCAUCAAUCCCAACCUGACCAUGGCCAUGAAACUGAGCAGUUGAUAGACAUGGAGAAGGUGUUCUGGUCCAGACUUCAUGCUCCUCUGGAUGCUAUGACAUCCUAACAGGUUGCCGAUGGAUGUUGACACGUGUGCUAGCUGCCUUGUUUCCCACUGGGUGUCACUACCUAAUUUUGAGCUUCCUGCCUCUUUUCUUGCUCAUCCACACCUACCCCACAACAUCUCAUCUCCAUAGUAUUCCAUUUUGUCUCACCCCUUUCAACCGUGGAGGAUAUGGAAGUUGGGCCAAUGCCCAACAGCCCCUGCCCUCCAAGGGGAGGAGAGACGACCACAGGGAGGCUGAAGGCGUUUCCUCCCUUUGGACUGCAAUGGUUGAAGCAUUGUCUCCUGCAGAGAUGUGGCACUGGAACAGCACUAAGUAGCAGCAUGCCUCUGCAGGAUCUGGCUCUAAAACCAAGAUCUAAGCAUGGCUGUAGGAUAAUGCAUCUCUCCUGCUCCUUGCCCUGGUGACCACUGCAGAGAAACACAGAAAAAAAGUGACACGUCACAGCACUGCAGCCCAUCACAGAGCACCCUGAUGUCCUGGUGAGCGCCUAACUGGAUA
ensembl:lncRNA